CACAACUAGAAUCCACAACUAUGUAUUAGGGAGCUUUGGGGAGAAGAAGAAAAAAAAAAGAUUUACUCUUAGUAACUUUCAGUUACUAAGUAACUAGUAACAAUCCAGUAUUGUUAACUAGUCACUCUGCUGUACACUAAUCCUCAGAACUUAUAACUAGAAGUUUGUACCUUUGACCACCUUUACCCACCGCCCCCCAUGCAUUAUUCAUUAUUUGGGUCAUCUCAUUUAGUCCUGACAACAAUCCUUUGAAGUAGGUAUUAUCAUGCCCAUUUUACAGUGGAAGGAACAGAGGCUCAGAGAGUGUGAGUACUUUGCUGAAAGCCUCUCCUCUAAGCUGCUUUGAUAGAAAUUUGCAGUUCUCCCUACUAGAUUAAUUUCCAUCAUCUUGCUAUUAUUAAAAAUGUGAAUAGAAUUGUGUCUCCAUUAGGAUUCUUUGGUUGCAAACAACCAGAAUCCCCCAACACCUAACACUACUACCUAGGCUUAAGCAUUCAGUCCCCUGACUCCAAGAGGUAGGCUGUCUUCCCGCGCUAAAUCAGGGCUUAGUGCCGUCCCUAGGCCUUGGCACAUAUCUAUCUCUCUCUGCUUGGCUCUGCUCCCCUUUCAUUGGCUUCCUUCUCAGGCUUCAGGUAGAGGCUAAGUGAUGGCAGCAACUUUCAGAGUCAAGGCCCACCAAGAGGAUUACUUGCUUGAUUUGGACCCUUGGCUUCUGAGGGCACACUCAGGAGGCAUGUGGGACAAACCUUUCUGGAAUGAACCAGAGGGCUACUUCUUCAAGUCUGUCCACUGACCACCUGCGUCAGAGCCACCUGGGGGCACCUGGUAACAUGCAACCUUCUGCGCCCACGCCCCUCUUCUUGCAGGUGGACUGUGAGGCCCGAAGAAGGGGAGUGACCUCGUCAGGGAGUGAGUGCUGAUCUAGGACAGAAGCCCGAGUCCUCUGAUUUCAAAACCCAGGGAGGAAAGGACAGAGAAUGAGGGCAGGAAAUGCGUCCAGCUUUGACUCCUCCGAUUCCCAUAUAUUUUCCCUUUAAUUCUCAUCAUUAGGAGAAAAAUCCAGUACCGACCCGGCAGGAGCCUUUGGAGGGAGGUGGCUUCCUGCUAAUCGGGCCUCAGUGUGCUCUGAGAGCUCGGAUUGCUGCCUCUCACCUCCCAGGGAGGCUCAGUGUAGCGGGCAUCUCAGGUCUCCAGCCUCCGCACAGACGUCCUCUGUUAAAGGAGGAGGCCUGGCAGGGGAAGGAGCUGGGUGGGUCAAGCUGUAGCCUGGUGUGAGAGCUGCCUCCUUUGAAUGGGCACUGGGAGGCGGGGAGGAGAGUCCAGGCAGAUGAGUAAGCGAAGCAGAGCUUGAUCCAGAAGGGAGGGAGCCAGAGGGAGCCAGGACCUCAGUCAGAGAAGAGAGUUCUCAAUUCCAAAUGAAGACUUCUCUCAGCCGGCAACAAGAGAACCCAUUAUAAGCACCUAAUCUCUCUGUUAGGGUUGGCAGAUAAAUUUGAGUUUCAGCAACCCUGCUAGUCCUCCCACUAGCCCUGGAAACUGCCGCCUCCUGACCCGUCACAGGCCCCGGUCCUGCAAAGCUGGUACGAUCGGCGCCCUAAGGGAGCAGCAGGGCCUCCUCCCCCGUUUCAGAGGCGACCAUGCUGAGGCUGGGAGAAGUGCAGUGCCUCGUCUGGGGUCAAACAGUGAUCCGGGCGCAGAGGAGGAAUCCUAGCCCUGACCGGUCCCGCUCCAAGUUCAAGGAUUCUUUCGGAUCCUUUACCUCAAGUUCUCACCUGCAGUUGGCAGAGGCGGCGAAAUACUUGAGUUUUGAGUUUUUCUUCUCCUUUUUACGUGUCCUGUGCGGCGGGGGGUGGGGAUGCGCUUUGGGCCACCAGGGUUUUCAGGCUGCCCGGGAACUCUUAAAGGAACAUUAGGGGAUCUUUCUGAAAAGCUAAAAACAAACAAACGCGUUUGAAAAUAAAGUCCUGUGGAUAAUCUCCCCACACAA